GAUGAACGCUGGCGGCGUGCCUAAUACAUGCAAGUCGAGCGAACGGACGAGAAGCUUGCUUCUCUGAUGUUAGCGGCGGACGGGUGAGUAACACGUGGAUAACCUACCUAUAAGACUGGGAUAACUUCGGGAAACCGGAGCUAAUACCGGAUGAUAUUUUGAACCGCAUGGUUCAAAAGUGAAAGACGGUCUUGCUGUCACUUAUAGAUGGAUCCGCGCUGCAUUAGCUAGUUGGUAAGGUAACGGCUUACCAAGGCAACGAUGCAUAGCCGACCUGAGAGGGUGAUCGGCCACACUGGAACUGAGACACGGUCCAGACUCCUACGGGAGGCAGCAGUAGGGAAUCUGACGCAAUGGGCGAAAGCCUGACGGAGCAACGCCGCGUGAGUGAUGAAGGUCUUCGGAUCGUAAAACUCUGUUAUGAGGGAAGAACAUAUGUGUAAGUAACUGUGCACAGCUUGACGGUACCUAAUCAGAAAGCCACGGCUAACUACGUG
rnacentral:rRNA from 1 species